CAACACCCAUGUCUGAAGCUUGAAGUUUGUUCUUCCCCGACUCCUCUUAGGUCAUCACUAAUCAAAUUCCAGCCUUUCGCCGUUACCAUAAAUCCACUCUUCAUUAAUAUAUAUUUUGCUCUUCGAAAGUGCUGAUCUUAUAGUGGCUUGCUUCGUAGCUCUUAACGGGGAGGAUCCAUCAGUUCUUCUGAAUGCUCUUAAGAUUCAAUAUGAUGAGACUGGAGCAAAGUUCUUUGAGUACAUGGCAGCUUUAGAAGCUAAAUAUCAAAGUUGUAUCAGCAUUUGUACACCUAGGUGCACAUGAAGAAGUAUAAAACUAAACAAAAAAAGAUAAAGAUGCUGAAGAGAAAGGAGUACCAGAGUCCUGGCUGAAUAACAAUGAAAUUGCAGAUCAUGAGGUUUUUUUCAAGGAUACUCUACUUUUGUUUUUUUAGAAAAUGGAUGAAGAACCAAAAGAGAAUCUUGAGUUUAUCUUUGAUCAGAGCCCUCACUUCAAGCACACAGUUUUGACCAAGACAUAUCACAUCAUUGAUGAAGAUGAGCAUAUCCUUGAAAAGGCCAUUACUAAUCGUCCACGACGGAGACUGAGUGGUAUCCUGGAAAAUGUUUGACUCAACAUAUUAAAAAGAAACCAACAAAGGUAUCCAAAACACAAAGCCAAUCACUUAGAGUGAAGACUACAAGAGUUUCUGCAACUUCUUCAGUCCACUUCAAGGUUUUCAGAGCAACGAUGAUCCUGAUGAUGGAUAGGCUGAAGAACUCCAUGGCCAUACGGAGCACGACCACCUUCUUAUUUCAUCUUCAGUUCUCUUUGCUCUUUAGCUCAGUUCUAGGAUCCAAAUCUGUCAGACUGUUUAAUCUGUAGAUCAACCAUUAAAGAGACAAGCAUCUCGCAUGUUGUGUUAUGGUUUAAGGUGAAGUUGUUGACGCAGAUGACCUUGAGAUGGGCGACGAUGAUGAUGAGAUUGCUGAAGAUGUGAUGAGGACGGGAAGGGUGGAAGAUGAAGAGGAUGAGCAAGGAAAAAAGUGCAGAAAAGGUCAUCAUCUGGGUGCAAGGUUAUAACAAUCACUCAAUAUCGACCUUAGGUUCUAUAUCUUCUAAUUAUUUAAGGGCUGUUUAUAACAUGAGGCUCUUUUCUUUUUAAACAAAAGUCUAGAAGCAGUCAACUUGCAUAAGGUCAACAAGGUGAGAGGCUACUGGAGCAUAAUUAACAGUGAGUAAACUUCUUCUGCGAUAAAAAAGAUUGGUUUAUUGUGAAGAAGAGUCGGGUCUUUCUGCUUCUUAAGUUGCAAAGUCGUGGUCCGGUUUAUAUGAUAUAUCAAGUUUUGUCGGGUGGUUUGCUAAAAAAUUGGGUAUUUGGUGUGGUUUGUCUGUUUUUUCAUAUAUAAUGGGUGACUACUGUUCAUGAACUGGUUUGAGAUAAUAGUAUUUAUCGCUUUGUUCGCAA